rnacentral:rRNA from 1 species
CAGCAGUAGCCGCGGUAAUACGAAGGGUGCAAGCGUUACUCGGAAUUACUGGGCGUAAAGCGUGCGUAGGUGGUGGUUUAAGUCCGUUGUGAAAGCCCUGGGCUCAACCUGGGAAUUGCAGUGGAUACUGGGUCACUAGAGUGUGGUAGAGGAUAGUGGAAUUUCCGGUGUAGCAGUGAAAUGCGUAGAGAUCGGAAGGAACAUCUGUGGCGAAGGCGACUAUCUGGGCCAACACUGACACUGAGGCACGAAAGCGUGGGGAACAAACAGGAUUAGAUACCCCUGUAGUCCCUGUCUCUUAUAC